UACAGAGGGUGCAAGCGUUAAUCGGAAUUACUGGGCGUAAAGCGCGGGUAGGUGGUUUGUUAAGUUGGAUGUGAAAUCCCCGGGCUCAACCUGGGAACUGCAUUCAAAACUGACAGGCUAGAGUAUGGUAGAGGGUGGUGGAAUUUCCUGUGUAGCGGUGAAAUGCGUAGAUAUUGGGAAGAACACCAGUGGCGAAGGCGGCUCUCUGGUCCGAUACUGACGCUGAGGUGCGAAAGCGCGGGGAGCAAACAGGAUUAGAAA
rnacentral:rRNA from 1 species